GGAGGGUUGCCAGAGCGGUAAUGGAGCGGCUUGCUAAGCCGUGACGGUGAAUAACCGUCCACAGGUUCAAAUCCUGUACCCUCCG
rnacentral:tRNA from 1 species